rnacentral:lncRNA from 1 species
CAGAACUGAAUUUUUUUGUUUUUAUACAAAUUUGUUCAUUGCAAAUGAAAAAGAAUAUAGACAUUAACUAUAAAAUUAUAAAUGUGUAUAUUGUGAAGAAAGACAAAUUCCAAAUUCUGGAAAUUGCUUCCUUAGAAUAGUGAAAAAUAAAUUUUCACUAGCCCAAGACUCAACCAAGUUGAAGAAGAACGAAGAAAUUGGAAUAUAGUUCCAAAAAAUGAGGGGAAAAAACCUUUAUUAUUAUAGAGGAAUCUAAGUUACAAGCUUACAACCAAAAGCUUACAAGAGAGAAAGUAGAAACAAGCUUGCAAUGAUAGUUGUUGUUGUUGGUGAUUUGUGUUUGUGUUGG